rnacentral:rRNA from 1 species
AGAAUCAACGCUGGCGGCGUGCCUAACACAUGCAAGUCGAACGAGAAAGUGGAGCAAUCCAUGAGUAAAGUGGCGUACGGGUGAGUAACACGUGACUAACCUACCCUCGAGUGGGGAAUAACCUCGGGAAACCGGGGCUAAUACCGCAUAACAUCUUCGGAUCAAAUGCGUAAGCAGCUUGAGGAGGGGGUCGCGGCCGAUUAGCUAGUUGGCGGGGUAAUGGCCCACCAAGGCAAUGAUCGGUAGCCGGCCUGAGAGGGCGCACGGCCACACUGGAACUGAAACACGGUCCAGACUCCUACGGGAGGCAGCAGUGGGGAAUUUGCGCAAUGGGGGAAACCCUGACGCAGCAACGCCGCGUGGAGGAUGAAGCCCCUUGGGGUGUAAACUCCUUUCGAUCGGGACGAUUAUGACGGUACCGGAUGAAGAAGCACCGGCUAACUCUGUGCCAGCAGCCGC